rnacentral:rRNA from 1 species
AGUCGAGCGGGAUAGGGUGCUUGCACCUGAUUCCUAGCGGCGGACGGGUGAGUAAUGCUUAGGAAUCUGCCUAUUUGUGGGGGACAACAUUCCGAAAGGGAUGCUAAUACCGCAUACGCCCUACGGGGGAAAGCAGGGGAUCUUCGGACCUUGCGCUAAUAGAUGAGCCUAAGUCGGAUUAGCUAGUUGGUGGGGUAAAGGCCUACCAAGGCGACGAUCUGUAGCGGGUCUGAGAGGAUGAUCCGCCACACUGGGACUGAGACACGGCCCAGACUCCUACGGGAGGCAGCAGUGGGGAAUAUUGGACAAUGGGGGGAACCCUGAUCCAGCCAUGCCGCGUGUGUGAAGAAGGCCUUUUGGUUGUAAAGCACUUUAAGCGAGGAGGAGGCGCUCUAGGCUAAUACCCUAGAUGCGUGGACGUUACUCGCAGAAUAAGCACCGGCUAACUCUGUGCCAGCAGCCGCGGUAAUACAGAGGGUGCGAGCGUUAAUCGGAUUUACUGGGCGUAAAGCGCGCGUAGGUGGCUAAUUAAGUCAAAUGUGAAAUCCCCGAGCUUAACUUGGGAAUUGCAUUCGAUACUGGUUAGCUAGAGUAUGGGAGAGGAUGGUAGAAUUCCAGGUGUAGCGGUGAAAUGCGUAGAGAUCUGGAGGAAUACCGAUGGCGAAGGCAGCCAUCUGGCCUAAUACUGACACUGAUGUGCGAAAGCAUGGGGAGCAAACAGGAUUAGAUACCCUUGUAGUCCAUGCCGUAACGAUGUCUACUAGCCGUUGGGGCCUUUGAAGCUUUAGUGGCGCAGCUAACGCGAUAGUAGACCGCCUGGGGAGUACGUUCGCAAGACUAAAACUCAAAUGA